AGAGUUUGAUCAUGGCUCAGGACGAACGCUGGCGGCGUGCUUAACACAUGCAAGUCGAGCGGUAAGGCCCCUUCGGGGGUACACGAGCGGCGAACGGGUGAGUAACACGUGAGUAACCUGCCCCUGACUCUGGGAUAAGCCUGGGAAACUGGGUCUAAUACCGGAUAUGACCUCGUGCCGCAUGGUGUGGGGUGGAAAGGUGUUUUUCCGGUCAGGGAUGGGCUCGCGGCCUAUCAGCUUGUUGGUGGGGUAACGGCCUACCAAGGCGAUGACGGGUAGCCGGCCUGAGAGGGCGACCGGCCACACUGGGACUGAGACACGGCCCAGACUCCUGCGGGAGGCAGCAGUGGGGAAUAUUGCGCAAUGGGCGGAAGCCUGACGCAGCGACGCCGCGUGGGGGAUGAAGGCCUUCGGGUUGUAAACCUCUUUUACCACUCACGAAGGCCCCUGGUUUUCUGGGGGUUGACGGUAGGUGGUGAAUAAGGACCGGCUAACUACGUGCCAGCAGCCGCGGUAAUACGUAGGGUCCGAGCGUUGUCCGGAAUUAUUGGGCGUAAAGAGCUCGUAGGCGGCCUGUCGCGUCUGCUGUGAAAGUCCGGGGCUUAACUCCGGGUGUGCAGUGGAUACGGGCAGGCUUGAGGUAGGUAGGGGAGACUGGAAUUCCUGGUGUAGCGGUGAAAUGCGCAGAUAUCAGGAGGAACACCGGUGGCGAAGGCGGGUCUCUGGGCCUUACCUGACGCUGAGGAGCGAAAGCGUGGGGAGCGAACAGGAUUAGAUACCCUGGUAGUCCACGCCGUAAACGUUGGGCGCUAGGUGUGGGGACUUUCCACGGUUUCCGUGCCGUAGCUAACGCAUUAAGCGCCCCGCCUGGGGAGUACGGCCGCAAGGCUAAAACUCAAAUGAAUUGACGG
rnacentral:rRNA from 1 species